ensembl:snoRNA
CUGAUCUAAUUUCUAAAACAAAUUGAUAUUUUAGCCUUGGCUUAAACAGUGGUACCAACAGAAACGAAUCUGGUCACCUUUCAGGGGCUGGGCAGUGCCCCUCAGAGUAAAUUUGGAGGUUCUACAAAG